rfam:Triticum aestivum genome assembly, contig: Triticum_aestivum_CS42_TGACv1_scaffold_332180_4BS
AUUCUACUCCCUCCGUUGCACAAUACAUGCCUUCUAUUUGUCAAAAUAUAUAUGUAUCUAGACAUGUUUUAGUAUAUAGGUACAUCCAUUUUUGGACAAAUGGAAGUCAAGUAUUUUGGAACGAAGGGAGUACACA